rnacentral:rRNA from 1 species
GAUGAACGCUGGCGGCGUGCUUAACACAUGCAAGUCGAACGGAAAGGCUCCUGCUUGCAGGGGUACUCGAGUGGCGAACGGGUGAGUAACACGUGGGUGAUCUGCCCUGCACUUCGGGAUAAGCCUGGGAAACUGGGUCUAAUACCGGAUAGGACGAUGGUUUGGAUGCCAUUGUGGAAAGUUUUUCGGUGUGGGAUGAGCUCGCGGCCUAUCAGCUUGUUGGUGGGGUAAUGGCCUACCAAGGCGUCGACGGGUAGCCGGCCUGAGAGGGUGUACGGCCACAUUGGGACUGAGUUACGGCCCAGACUCCUACGGGAGGCAGCAGUGGGGAAUAUUGCACAAUGGGCGCAAGCCUGAUGCAGCGACGCCGCGUGGGGGAUGACGGCCUUCGGGUUGUAAACUCCUUUCGCUAGGAACGAAGCGCAAGUGACGGUACCUGGAGAAGAAGCACCGGCUAACUACGUG